rnacentral:rRNA from 1 species
AGUACGCGUGGAAAACCUGCCGUAUACUGGGGGAUAACACUUAGAAAUAGGUGCUAAUACCGCAUAAGCGCACAGCUUCGCAUGAAGCGGUGUGAAAAACUCUGGUGGUAUACGAUGGUUCCGCGUCUGAUUAGCUAGUUGGUGGGGUAAUGGCCUACCAAGGCAACGAUCAGUAGCCGGCCUGAGAGGGUGAACGGCCACAUUGGGACUGAGACACGGCCCAAACUCCUACGGGAGGCAGCAG